rnacentral:rRNA from 1 species
CCUACGGGAGGCAGCAGUGGGGAAUAUUGGACAAUGGGCGAAAGCCUGAUCCAGCCAUGCCGCGUGUGUGAAGAAGGUCUUCGGAUUGUAAAGCACUUUAAGUUGGGAGGAAGGGCAGUUACCUAAUACGCAUCUGUUUUGACGUUACCGACAGAAUAAGCACCGGCUAACUCUGUGCCAGCAGCCGCGGUAA